GCCCGCCUAGCUCAAUCGGAUAGAGCGUCAGACUCUUACGAAGUCCAGAGGGCGGGAAAGAUUAUCUGAAGGCUGCGAGUUCGACCCUCGCGGUGGGCU
rfam:Schizophyllum commune H4-8 unplaced genomic scaffold SCHCOscaffold_1, whole genome shotgun sequence.